UUUCCCCUUUCAAUUAGUGACAAAUUUCUACAAAGUGAUUUUCUUCCCAAGAGCUCCUGUUGCCUCAGGACCAGAGGAGACCCAGGAGGCUGAGGGCAGCUGGACGCUCUCACUGGGCUUCGCCACUGGGUGAUCACAUAGCCACGUGUGAGAGACCUAACCAAUUACGUCCCCGGAGGACGGAGGAUUUGCCUGAAUGGUGUGCUUACAGGUCUGCUCACCUGGAGGUGCUGGAGGUCAUCUUUGUCACCGCACACAGAGAGCCAGCCCAAGAAUGAUGCUGAUGCUGAGGAAGGCAGAACAAAGAGAUGGAGAGUGUCAUUUCCUGACAACAUCACUUAGGUACCUAGAUCCAGCUAUGCCUGAAUCCCAGUGGACUUUUCAGUUAAGAGGGCCAACCUUUUA